rnacentral:rRNA from 1 species
UACGAAGGGAGCUAGCGUUGUUCGGAUUUACUGGGCGUAAAGGGCGCGUAGGCGGUUAUGCAAGUCAGAUGUGAAAGCCCUGGGCUCAACCCGGGAAUUGCAUUUGAAACUGCAUGGCUUGAGUAUGGGAGAGGUAGGUAGAAUUCCCAGUGUAGAGGUGAAAUUCGUAGAUAUUGGGAAGAAUACCAGUGGCGAAGGCGGCCUACUGGACCAUAACUGACGCUGAGGCGCGAAAGCGUGGGGAGCAAACAGG